GCCAUUACUUGGCACUGCGGACAGCGUUGAGUGAGGGGGCUGUGACCGCUGAAUGGGGACUUGAAGGAUGAGAGGGCAACAGGAGCGGCAGCUCUUCCUCUGCCAGGAAAGGAACUUCAGGAGCCCAGGCCCCGAGGGCGGGAGGCGUAGGGUGGGUGUGGGGGCUCCUGCGACAGCGCAGACUUGGCGCGGACGGGUGCAGGGACUGCGUGGGAGCCUCCGGGGUCCCCGCGCUCCGCGACCCUGCGUGACCCGGGCGGCGAGGCCGUGCGGAGGAGGAGGGCGCGGGCGGGGCUCCUGGCGGGCUCUCCUCGCCUGGUUUGUUAUGCACGAGGCAGGCAAUUUGCCUUCCGCCCGGGGGACCCAUCUAGGAGACAAGAAGGUGACGAAAACUCCUCGAGAGGGAUCCAAGAAUGAGCAGCCUUGUCCCCUGAGGUCUGGCCCACUGCCUCCUGGUUCAGCAGAAAUGUGUCCUUCCUGGAAGCCCAGAGGUCCUAGGGAGAGAGGAAUCAGCCUGGGGCCUGGCCGGGCCUCCUGGAGCCACCUUCCGUGUGAGGGGUUGUUCACGUGUUCAGCUCUUCUCAUGGAUGACAUAUGGACCAAUCUGUGUCACACUUAGUAGAUGGUCCAUGAAAAACUGAAUGAGGUGAAGUGGCUUGCUCUGCGGAAGACUCCUCUGCAGAAGAUGGGGUUUUCUGUUUCAUUGAUGUAGCUGAGGUUCUUCUUAGGCUUUGGGAAAAUUUAGAAUGAAAGCCUUACCCUCCCUAUGCUUCAGCACUCUGUUUUUCCUUUGAAGAAAAAAAAAAAC
rnacentral:lncRNA from 1 species